rnacentral:rRNA from 1 species
UUUUAUGGAGAGUUUGAUCCUGGCUCAGGAUGAACGCUGGCGGCGUGCCUAAUACAUGCAAGUCGAGCGAACGGACGAGAAGCUUGCUUCUCUGAUGUUAGCGGCGGACGGGUGAGUAACACGUGGAUAACCUACCUAUAAGACUGGGAUAACUUCGGGAAACCGGAGCUAAUACCGGAUAAUAUUUUGAACCGCAUGGUUCAAAAGUGAAAGACGGUCUUGCUGUCACUUAUAGAUGGAUCCGCGCUGCAUUAGCUAGUUGGUAAGGU